CCCUGAGGACUGAAGCAUGAAACACAGGCUUUUCCAUACUUUUAGCAACUCCUUGAUCUGUUAUGUUAUAGAUAGAACCACAUCUAGUUUUACUAACCAACAUUCAGAUGAUUUACAAAAGAAGAGGAGGAUCACCAAUGAGGAAGGCACCCCGAGAUUUAUGAAGAAGAGGUAUCCUGAUAAGAAACUGGAAUUUCAUAUGGAAUGAAGUCUCAUAGUCACAGACCAAAUAUUUUCUGGUCAUAUAUUUUGGCCAUUACCAAAUUACCACCAAAUGAUUGACUCAAAUUGAUCCAAGCAAAUGUCGGAAGCUGCUUUCAGUUAGUUAAAACAAUGAUCAAUUUGCAAACGAUCGAGUAUUUGAUAUGAGUAUUAUUACAAAUAGACACACUACAUCUGCAUAAAAAAUACUUUGAUUUGAUUAACUUACCUAGACAACUAAAUGUUUAAAGUCAUUUAAAGAUUUUCUUUCUGGUAGUUUUUGCAUGUUUUUGCAAAAAAAAAAAAAAAAAAGAGUUAAGUUCUUUUACUUUUUAUGAAUUAGUAUAAUAUUUUAUACCCCUGACUUUUAAGCUGAAAUAUUAAACCAUCACUUUGGUUGUUGGAAAUCUGACGGCAAAUAUACGCGCAUGGUCGUACACAUCACAUACACAGGCGGCUUUAGAAUACCAUCCCACUUAAAUCAAUAGUGUAAAAUGUAUUGACCUAAUUCUAUCUGGAGGAGAAGGGAAAAUGAGCAGUGGUGCUUUCUUGUGACUUACGAUUUUUCAUACGGAGUUUCAGACUUGUUUCUGAUUAUAAAGAAAUCUAUCCACUUCAUGUCAAACUGAUAAACAAACAGGACAGGGAAUCACCAAGGGGAAGACCUAGUUUUCAAAGAGCCCAUAACUAAAAACAUCAGAAGAUAUUUUGUGUUUAAAGAAUUCAGGAACAUUAAAUUACUUUAAAAUCAUACAUUUUUUUCCUAAUUAUCACAGUGUCAAAUUACUUAUAUGGGCAAAAACUGUUUCUGCAUACAUGUUGCGUGUACAGGAACACACACAUAUGUACACAUUCCUCAACGUGUCACAAGCCUCUUAAGCAAAGUGAC
ensembl:lncRNA